UACGAAGGGGGCUAGCGUUGCUCGGAAUCACUGGGCGUAAAGCGCACGUAGGCGGAUCGCUAAGUCAGGGGUGAAAUCCUGGAGCUCAACUCCAGAACUGCCUUUGAUACUGGCAAUCUCGAGUCCGGGAGAGGUGAGUGGAACUGCGAGUGUAGAGGUGAAAUUCGUAGAUAUUCGCAAGAACACCAGUGGCGAAGGCGGCUCACUGGCCCGGUACUGACGCUGAGGUGCGAGAGCGUGGAGAGCGAACCGG
rnacentral:rRNA from 1 species